CUGUGCUCUAGAGGCCUAGUGGUGAGCUCCAUCAAGUGUCAGGAAGGGUUCUUGUUCGAUAACUCCACCAAAGUGUGCAGGCCACGAGGCCAGGUACAGUGUGACAUCGGUUCUUCAAGGAUAAAUCCAAACGUUGGAGAGUCGUGCGAUGUGUACUCUGGGAAAACCCAAGACCCAAGUCGAUGUGACACGUUUCUACUGUGCUCUAGAGGCCUAGUGGUGAGCUCUACCAAGUGUCAGGAAGGGUUCUUGUUCGAUAACUCCACCAAAGUGUGCAGGCCACGAGACCAAGUACAGUGUGACAUCGGUUCUUCCAGGACAAAUGGCUCCACAGUCGGAGAUUCGUGCGAUGUGUACUCUGGGAAAACCCAAGACCCAAGUCGAUGUGACACAUUUCUACUGUGCUCUAGAGGCCUAGUGGUGAGCUCCAUCAAGUGUCAGGAAGGGUUCUUGUUCGAUAACUCCACCAAAGUGUGCAGGCCACGAGGCCAGGUACAGUGUGACAUCGGUUCUUCAAGGAUAAAUCCAAACG